rnacentral:lncRNA from 1 species
AACGGGUGGAACCAUCGGAUUCGGCUUCGAGGGGUGGGAAAGCGGAGCGCAGCGGCGCCAGCGGAGGAGGUGGGGGAAUCGAUUGGACUGCGACGGCCGCAGCCUUUCGUGUUGGCCGCGCCGGACGAAAGGAUUCGGCUUCGAGGGGUGAGAGAGAGAGAGAGAGAGAGAGAACUUUUCCUCCUUCCUCCUUGAUCUCUCUCCCUCUCCUCGUCGUCUUCUUUGUUGGGUUGUGGCGUCGCGGAGAGGAGAGGAGAGGAGAGGAGAGUAGGGAGUGAUCGAAUGAUGGGGGAGAAAUGGAGCUCUUUU